AUUUUACAUGAAAAAUUAGAUUAAAUCUAAUUUUUAUCAUAAAUAAUUAGAGAAGAAAAGUUCUUCUUGAAGGUAUGAAAGGAAGAGAGAAAGGUUCUCUCUUGUGCGUGGAAGAAUUGAGAAGAAAGGGUUCUUCUCUUGAUCUCUAUUGUAGAGAUCUGAUGUAUUGAUUCAAGAAGAAAAAGAGAGGGUCUCCUUAUUCUUCAUCUUCUUCAUGUUCCACUUAGAUUAGCCAACCAAAGGUAUCAUCAUGAGCUAGCACUCCCAAGGAGAUCGAUCAGCACAAGGGCUUCAUGUGGAUAUCCAUGG
rnacentral:lncRNA from 1 species